UACGUAGGUGGCAAGCGUUGUCCGGAAUUAUUGGGCGUAAAGCGCGCGCAGGCGGUCCUUUAAGUCUGAUGUGAAAGCCCACGGCUCAACCGUGGAGGGUCAUUGGAAACUGGGGGACUUGAGUACAGAAGAGGAAAGCGGAAUUCCACGUGUAGCGGUGAAAUGCGUAGAGAUGUGGAGGAACACCAGUGGCGAAGGCGGCUUCCUGGUCUGCAACUGACGCUGUGGCGCGAAAGCUAGGGGAGCAAACGGG
rnacentral:rRNA from 1 species